UUGCCAUUUGUUUUAUUGCUUCUCUGCAAGUUAUUUGUCUCCAAUUUUAGCAGCUGAAUUAUUUUUCUAAUCCUUCUCAAUUAACAUGCCUUCUGCAUCAUCAAGGAACUGCAGUGAAAAGGGAAGUUACAUGGGAAUGGCAUUCCAUCUUUCCUGAAGAACAAUUUUCCUGUCAAAAAUUCAAGAGGAAGAAUUGCUUGGGACUCCCUCUUCGUGUCUACUUUUACUUCAUCUAUAGAUGCGUUACCCCAAGUGGCUGUUCUCAUUCC
rnacentral:lncRNA from 1 species